CGCCAAGUGAUGCUCCAAAACUAAGUCCAGAGCUGAAACCAUGCACAGAGCCCCUACAAAAGAUUGCGAACGUGAUAAUGAAAGUCAAACACGCAUGACGCAACCGGCAAGUGUCAGCAGUUCGACGACAUGGGUCUCUCAAACAUUCAUUCAGGAACGAAUCGGCAUCCAUCGUGGCUUACACUCGGACACAACGGUGGGACGAUGUCUUGCUGUUCGGACUAUGCUGUCCGCCGAGGACAGCGGACCUUCACAUGGUAUUCAAUCGAGGAAAAAUCUUUGUAAGAAAGGUAUCAUUCUCAGGAAGUUUGCGAAAGCAACACCAAAGAAUCCAGUCCGGUUGUGCUCACAGUAGGACGUCAUCAGGAUAGUCCUUCGAUUGCAUUUAUACUUAGCGCGCGUUUCCGUUGAGUUGCUUAGCACAUGUUGAAGUACUGCACUACUAUAACCCCAAAUAUACAACAAAGACUUAUUAGCUAGUAGCUAUCGACAAGCUGACUUCUACCAAUUCAAAUAAAGAUAGCGUGCCCUUUCAGGGCCGAGAACAGGUGUUGCUUUAGCAGUGAAUCCAAAACAUAUUGCCAGUUCCUACGGGUUUUACUGAAGGCGUUAAAGUGUCUCCACUGUGGGAUUCAGAAACCCUUGUUGGCUGUGUAGGAUUAAGCCGUUGUGAUUCAUCAGUGCUACGGUGAAUCAAUAGCAAUGACAAAAAUAAUUACAAAAAUACAAGUUUUCCCUGGUAGGUUGGAGGCGCGCUCACAGGGAAACCUCACGAUUUCACUGUACUCAGAGACAGAGCUUUAUAUCACCGGAAGAAUGAGCAUAUUGGUUAAGUCAUCCCGUUGGCUUUGUGCGUUUCAACGAAAGCAACAACAUAAGCACACCUUGGGGUUUCAAGGAAAUAUCAACAAAUAGCUGAGAUAUUCUAUUUCAAGCCUGCCAUGUCGCGAAAGAGCGAUUUUGCACGAGGCUAUGCUGCGUGUUUGCGUCGGACGGAAGGCAAGCAUGAUAGGCCGCGACUUCCUGGGUUCAAAUUUUGCAGCCCUGUUCAUCUUCGUAUUCGUAAAUUACUGUACCUGAUUUGUACGUGUUGACCUGACCAGCGAUAUCUUAAGAACCGUGCUCUUGACGUUUCCUCAGGAUAUUUAUGUAUAGAUAAGCUCAUCUGCCAUUGGCGACGCAAAAUGGUUUUUCACUUGGUAUUUGAUUGUUGCGCUACCCAGAGGAUUUUACACUACAGCGACCGGUCGCGUUUCCAUUAACCAUUGCUGUCGGCGCUUUUCCAAGUAUCGCCUUCACCACCAGUCCUAUGCGUAGGGUAACUCUAACCAAGGCUCAGUUUGAGCUAAUAUUUAGGCAUCGUGCAAUACUUUCCAUGAGACUAUCCAAAAAUCCGCAGAAGAUCACCUCUUUCGGGAGCCUGAAGGAAGCAACUCAUUUGCAGGGUCAGCGCUUGUUGAGGGCAUAAGAUGAUUAAUAAGGGCAAUGCAUAAAUUACGUGGUUACAAUUAAAAAAAA